UUCCUGAUAUUUCAGUUGGUAAAGAAUCUGCCUGCAAUGCAGGAGACCCUGGUUCAAUUCCUGGGUUGGGAA
rnacentral:tRNA from 1 species